UCAGCUCAGGAUGAGGCCCCCUGCCCAGCUCCUGGGGCUGCUGCUGCUCUGGAUCCCUGGCACUCGUGGGGAUGUAGUGAUGACCCAAAGUCCACCUUCACUGUCCAUCACCCCUGGACAGCCGGCCUCCAUCUCCUGCAGGUCCAGUCAGAGCCUCCUGGGUAGCGAUGGGAACACCUAUCUGCGUUGGUUCCUGCAGAAGCCAGGCCAGGCCCCAAAGCUCCUGAUUUAUCGAGUCUCCAACAGGUUCUCUGGGGUCUCAGACAGGUUCAGUGGCAGUGGGGCAGGCACAGACUUCACCCUGAAAAUCAGCAGCGUGCAGGCCGAGGACGCUGGAGUGUAUUACUGCAUGCAAGCUACACAUGUGCCUCCCACAGUGAUGCAGCCCUGAACAGAAACCCCUCAG